GACGAACGCUGGCGGCGUGCUUAACACAUGCAAGUCGAACGGAAAGGCCCUGCUUGCAGGGUGCUCGAGUGGCGAACGGGUGAGUAACACGUGGGUGAUCUGCCCCUUACUUUGGGAUAAGCCUGGUAAACUGGGUCUAAUACUGGAUAGGACCAUGCUGUAGGUGGUGUGGUGGAAAGAUUAGUUUCGGUAAGGGAUGAGCUCGCGGCCUAUCAGCUUGUUGGUGGGGUAAUGGCCUACCAAGGCGUCGACGGGUAGCCGGCCUGAGAGGGUGGACGGCAACAUUGGGACUGCGAUACGGCGCAGACUCCUACGGGAGGCAGCAGUGGGGAAUAGUGCACAAUGGGCGCAAGCCGGAUGCAGCGACGCCGCGUGGGGGAUGACGGCCUUCGGGUUGUAAACUCCUUUCGGCCAUGACGAAGCCCUUGUGGUGACGGUAGUGGUAGAAGAAGCACCGGCUAACUACGUG
rnacentral:rRNA from 1 species